CUGAACCAGCCAAGUAGCGUGGAGGAUGACUGCCCUAUGGGUUGUAAACUUCUUUUAUAAAGGAAUAAAGUCGGGUAUGGAUACCCGUUUGCAUGUACUUUAUGAAUAAGGAUCGGCUAACUCCGUGCCAGCAGCCGCGGUAAUACGGAGGAUCCGAGCGUUAUCCGGAUUUAUUGGGUUUAAAGGAAGCGUAGAUGGAUGUUUAAGUCAGUUGUGAAAGUUUGCGG
rnacentral:rRNA from 1 species